CCUAACACAUGCAAGUCGUACGAGAGUUUUUAACUCUAGUGGCGGACGGGUGAGUAACACGUGAGAGUUUGCCUUUAGGAGGGGGAUAACAAUUGGAAACGAAUGCUAAUACCCCAUAUGCUUUCGAGUGAAAUGGAUUUAUAUUUAUCCGCCUAGAGAGAAGCUCGCGGCUGAUUAGCUUGUUGGUAAGGUAAGAGCUUACCAAGGCGACGAUCAGUAUCUGGUUUGAGAGGACGAUCAGACACACUGGAACUGAGACACGGUCCAGACUCCUACGGGAGGCAGCAGUGGGGAAUUUUCCGCAAUGGGCGAAAGCCUGACGGAGCAAUACCGCGUGAGGGAAGACUGCCUAUGGGUUGUAAACCUCUUUUUUCAGGGAGGAAUAAAUGACGUGUACCUGAAGAAUAAGCAUCGGCUAACUCCGUGCCAGCAGCCGCGGUAAGACGGAGGAUGCAAGUGUUAUCCGGAAUCACUGGGCGUAAAGCGUCUGUAGGUGGUUUAAUAAGUCAACUGUUAAAUCUUGAGGCUCAACUUCAAAAUCGCAGUCGAAACUAUUAGACUAGAGUAUAGUAGAGGUAAAGGGAAUUUCCAGUGGAGCGGUGAAAUGCGUAGAUAUUGGAAAGAACACCGAUGGCGAAAGCACUUUACUGGGCUAUUAC
rnacentral:rRNA from 1 species